rnacentral:tRNA from 1 species
GCGCCUCCACCGGUGAGAGCCGCGCUCGACCAGAGCGGCUGUCGGCAGUUCGAAUCUGCCCAGGCGCA